UUAAGUUAUAAAGGGCGCACGGUGGAUGCCUAGGCACUAGGAGCCGAUGAAGGACGUAACUAACGACGAUACGCCUCGGGGAGCUGUAAGUAAGCUUUGAUCCGGGGAUUUCCGAAUGGGGGAACCCAAAUAUCGUAAUGGAUAUUUACUUGCCUGUGAAUACAUAGCAGUCAAGAGGAACACGCAAUGAACUGAAACAUCUAAGUAGUUGCAGGAAGAGAAAGAAAAUUCGAUUCCCUGAGUAGCGGCGAGCGAAACGGGAAUAGCCCAAACUAAAGAGCUUGCUCUUUAGGGUUGUAGGACUGAUGUUGUGAGAACAAAAGGUUAUGAUAGUCGAACAAGUUGGAAAACUUGGCCAAAGAGAGUGAAAGCCUCGUAAACGAAAUCUGAUCCACUCCAUUCAGUAUCCUGAGUACGGCGGAACACGAGAAAUUCCGUCGGAAUCCGGGAGGACCAUCUCCCAAGGCUAAAUACUCCCUAGUGACCGAUAGUGAACCAGUACCGUGAGGGAAAGGUGAAAAGUACCCCGGAAGGGAGUGAAAUAGAUCCUGAAACCGUGUGCCUACAAGUAGUCAGAGUCCGUUUAUGGAUGAUGGCGUGCCUUUUGUAGAAUGAACCGGCGAGUUACGUUAACAUGCAAGGUUAAGAUGAAAAGUCGGAGCCGUAGCGAAAGCGAGUCUGAAUAGGGCGACUAAGUAUGUUGAUGUAGACCCGAAACCAAGUGACCUAUCCAUGUCCAGGUUGAAGAUGCGGUAAAACGCAUUGGAGGACCGAACUCGUGUAUGUUGAAAAAUGCUGAGAUGAGAUGUGGAUAGCGGUGAAAUUCCAAACGAACUUGGAGAUAGCUGGUUCUCUCCGAAAUAGCUUUAGGGUUAGCCUCGAGGUUUAGGAUCGUGGAGGUAGAGCACUGUUUGGACUAGGGGCCCGUCUUGGGUUACUGAAUUCAGAUAAACUCCGAAUACCAUUGAUCUUUACUCGGGAGUCAGACGAUGAGUGAUAAGAUCCACCGUCGAAAGGGAAACAGCCCAGAUCACCAGUUAAGGUCCCAAAAUUCAUGCUAAGUGGAAAAGGAUGUGGAAACGCAUAGACAACUAGGAUGUUGGCUUAGAAGCAGCCAUUCAUUCAAAGAGUGCGUAAUAGCUCACUAGUCGAGUGAUUCUGCGCCGAAAAUGUACCGGGGCUAAGCAUGAUACCGAAACUGUGGAUGUGUCGUAAGACACGUGGUAGGAGAGCGUUGUAAUUGCAUUGAAGCCAUACCGUGAGGAGUGGUGGAGUGAUUAGAAGUGAGAAUGCCGGUAUGAGUAACGAAAGACCAGUGAGAAUCUGGUCGGCCGUAAGACUAAGGUUUCCUGGGGAAGGCUCGUCCUCCCAGGGUUAGUCGGGGCCUAAGAUGAGGCCGAAAGGCGUAAUCGAUGGAUAACAGGUUGAUAUUCCUGUACUAGUUUAUUUUGUUUGAACGAUGGAAGGACGCAGGAGGAUGAUGUGUGCACGCUGAUGGAUAUGCGUGUCCAAGCAGUAAGUCUUGAUAUGAGUCAAAUGCUUAUAUCUCUAAGGACAAGCUGUGAUGGGGAGUGAAAUUUUAGUAACGAAGCACAAUAACUCACACUGCCAAGAAAAGUUCCUAGUUAGAAAUAAACUACCCGUACCGCAAACCGACACAGGUAGUCGAGGAGAGUAUCCUAAGGUCAGCGAGUGAACUCUCGUUAAGGAACUCGGCAAAAUGACCCCGUAACUUCGGGAGAAGGGGUGCUGGUGUAACAGCCAGCCGCAGUGAAUAGGCCCAAACAACUGUUUAUCAAAAACACAGGUCUAUGCUAAAUCGUAAGAUGACGUAUAUGCUGACGCCUGCCCGGUGCUGGAAGGUUAAGAGGAUCAGUUAGCUUUUGCGAAGCUGAGAAUUGAAGCCCCAGUAAACGGCGGCCGUAACUAUAACGGUCCUAAGGUAGCGAAAUUCCUUGUCGGGUAAGUUCCGACCCGCACGAAAGGCGUAAUGAUUUGGGCACUGUCUCAACGAGAGACUCGGUGAAAUUAUAAUACCCGUGAAGAUGCGGGUUACCCGCGACAGGACGGAAAGACCCCAUGGAGCUUUACUGUAGCUUGAUAUUGAGUUUUUGUGUGACAUGUACAGGAUAGGUAGGAGCCGUUGAUCUCGGAACGCUAGUUUCGAGGGAGGCAUUGGUGGGAUACUACCCUUGUUAUAUGAAAACUCUAACCUACAUCACUUAGCGUGGUGAGGGACAGUGUCUGGUGGGCAGUUUGACUGGGGCGGUCGCCUCCUAAAAUGUAACGGAGGCGCUCAAAGGUUCGCUCAGAAUGGUUGGAAAUCAUUCGUAGAAUGUAAAGGCAUAAGCGAGCUUGACUGCGAGACUGACAAGUCGAGCAGGGACGAAAGUCGGACUUAGUGAUCCGGUGGUGCCAUAUGGAAGGGCCAUCGCUCAACGGAUAAAAGCUACCCUGGGGAUAACAGGCUUAUCUCCCCCAAGAGUUCACAUCGACGGGAGGUUUGGCACCUCGAUGUCGGCUCAUCGCAUCCUGGGGCUGUAGUCGGUCCCAAGGGUUGGGCUGUUCGCCCAUUAAAGCGGUACGCGAGCUGGGUUCAGAACGUCGUGAGACAGUUCGGUCCCUAUCCGUCGCGGGCGUAGGAAAUUUGAGAGGAGCUGUCCUUAGUACGAGAGGACCGGGAUGGACAUACCUCUGGUGUACCAGUUGUGCCGCCAGGCGCAUCGCUGGGUAGCUACGUAUGGACGGGAUAAACGCUGAAAGCAUCUAAGUGUGAAGCCCCCCUCGAGAUGAGAUUUCCCAUUCCUUUAUGGAAGUAAGAUCCGUUAGAGAAUAUGACGUAGAUAGGCUGCGGGUGGAAGUGUAGCGAUACAUGGAGCUGAGCAGUACUAAUAGAUCGAGGACUUAACCG
rnacentral:rRNA from 1 species